ACACUGCUGAGGAGUCCCACAAUAGGACGAAACAUCCAGUCCAGUGC
rnacentral:hammerhead_ribozyme from 1 species